rnacentral:rRNA from 1 species
AUUGAACGCUGGCGGCAGGCCUAACACAUGCAAGUCGAACGGUAACAGGAAGAAGCUUGCUUCUUUGCUGACGAGUGGCGGACGGGUGAGUAAUGUCUGGGAAACUGCCUGAUGGAGGGGGAUAACUACUGGAAACGGUAGCUAAUACCGCAUAACGUCGCAAGACCAAAAAGGGGGACCUUCGGGCCUCUUGCCAUCGGAUGUGCCCAGAUGGGAUUAGCUAGUAGGUGGGGUAACGGCUCACCUAGGCGACGAUCCCUAGCUGGUCUGAGAGGAUGACCAGCCACACUGGAACUGAGACACGGUCCAGACUCCUACGGGAGGCAGCAGUGGGGAAUAUUGCACAAUGGGCGCAAGCCUGAUGCAGCCAUGCCGCGUGUAUGAAGAAGGCCUUCGGGUUGUAAAGUACUUUCAGCAGGGAGGAAGGGAGUAAAGUUAAUACCUUUGCUCAUUGACGUUACCCGCAGAAGAAGCACCGGCUAACUCCGUG